CACGUAGGGCGCGAGCGUUGUCCGGAAUUAUUGGGCGUAAAGAGCUCGUAGGCGGCCUGUUGCGUCCGCUGUGAAAGCCCGGGGCUUAACCCCGGGUCGGCAGUGGAUACGGGCAGGCUAGAGGUAGGUAGGGGAGAAUGGAAUUCCCGGUGUAGCGGUGAAAUGCGCAGAGUAUCGGGAGGAACACCGGUGGCGAAGGCGGUUCUCUGGGCCGUUACCUGACGCUGAGGCAGCGAAAGCGUGGGGAGCGAACAGGAAUUGAGAUACCCGGUGUAAGCUC
rnacentral:rRNA from 1 species